GGGGAAUUUUGGGCAAUGGGCGAAAGCCUGACCCAGCAACGCCGCGUGAAGGACGAAAUCCCUCCGGGAUGUAAACUUCGAAAGUCAGGAAAGAAAUCCUUGCGGAUAACACCCGCGAGGGAUGACGGUACCUGACGUAAGCCCCGGCUAACUACGUGCCCGCAGCCGCGGUAAUACGUAGGGGGCAAGCGUUGUUCGGAAUUACUGGGCGUAAAGGGCGCGUAGGCGGCACGGCAAGUCGGGAGUGAAAGGCCUGGGCUCAACCGAGGAACUGCUUUCGAGACUGCCGAGCUAGAGUGCGGAAGGGGCAACUGGAAUUCCCAGUGUAGCGGUGAAAUGCGUAGAUAUUGGGAAGAACACCUGAGGCGAAGGCGGGUUGCUGGGCCGACACUGACGCUGAGGCGCGAAAGCCAGGGGAGCAAAC
rnacentral:rRNA from 1 species